rnacentral:rRNA from 1 species
GAUGAACGCUGGCGGCGUGCCUAAUACAUGCAAGUCGAACGCUGGAAAUCUAGCUUGCUAGAUUGAAGGAGUGGCGAACGGGUGAGUAAUACAUAAGCAACCUACCCACGAAGACUGGGAUAAUCUCUGGAAACGGGGACUAAUACCGGAUAGGUAAUCGGAAGGCAUCUUCUGAUUAUUAAAGGUUAAAAACACUGGUGGAUGGGCUUAUGGCGCAUUAGUUAGUUGGUGAGGUAACGGCCCACCAAGACGAUGAUGCGUAGCCGGCCUGAGAGGGUGAACGGCCACGUUGGGACUGAGACACGGCCCAGACUCCUACGGGAGGCAGCAGUAGGGAAUUUUCGGCAAUGGGGGAAACCCUGACCGAGCAACGCCGCGUGAGUGAUGACGGCCUUCGGGUUGUAAAGCUCUGUUGUAAGGGAAGAACGGUAGAUAGAGAAUAUCUAAAUGACGGUACCUUACCAGAAAGCCACGGCUAACUACGUG